rnacentral:rRNA from 1 species
UACAGAGGUCCCAAGCGUUGGUUCGGAUUCACUGGGCGUAAAGGGUGCGUAGGCGGUUUGAUAAGUCUGAUGUGAAAUCCCGCAAGCUUAACUGCGGAACUGCAUUGGAAACUAUUUGACUAGAGGAAUGGAGGGGAGACUGGAAUACUUGGUGUAGCAGUGAAUGCGUAGAUAUCAAGUGGAACACCAGUGGCGAAGGCGGGUCUCGUGGACAGUUCUGACGCUGAGGCACGAAGGCCAGGGGAGCAAACGGG